CGGAGCAGCGCGGGCGGCCCCGGCGCCGCCGCUGCCGCUGCCCGGGGCGGGAGAGGGCAGGUGUGGCCGGCACGGCGCAGCCCCAUGGAGCGGGGGAAGAUGGCGGAGCUGGAGAGCCUGGAGACGGCGGCGGAGCAUGAGCGGAUCCUGCGGGAGAUCGAGAGCACCGACACGGCCUGCAUCGGCCCCACGCUCAGGUCUGUCUAUGAUGGAGAGGAACACGGUCGCUUUAUGGAGAAGCUGGAGGCACGGAUCAGGAACCACGAUCGUGAGAUUGAGAAGAUGUGCAACUUCCAUUACCAGGGCUUUGUGGACUCCAUCACAGAGCUGCUGAAGGUUAGAGGAGAGGCUCAGAAACUGAAGAAUCAAGUGACAGACACCAACAGGAAGCUGCAGAACGAAGGAAAAGAAUUGAUCGUAGCAAUGGAAGAGCUGAAGCAAUGCCGGUUACAGCAGCGGAAUAUUUCAGCGACGGUUGAUAAGCUCACGCUGUGUCUUCCCGUCCUGGAGAUGUACAGCAAACUGCGAGAGCAAAUGAAAUCUAAAAGGCACUACCCUGCGCUCAAGACCCUGGAGCACCUCGAGCACACCUACCUGCCCCAAGUGAGCCACUACCGCUUCUGCAAGAUCAUGGUGGAUAAUAUCCCAAAGCUGCGGGAAGAGAUCAAGGAAGUUUCCAUGUCAGACCUCAAGGAUUUCCUGGAGAGUAUCCGUAAGCACUCGGACAAGAUAGGAGAGACGGCCAUGAAACAGGCACAGCAGCAACGAAACCUGGACAAUAUUGUAUCACAGCAUCCGAGGAUAAGUGGGGGGAAGAAGUCCAAGAAAGAAGCCUGCGCAAGCUCAGAACUGGAGGUAAAAAACACUAGCCCCAUGUCUGAGCAAGAUUCGGGUAUCCUGGAUGUUGAAGAUGAGGAUGAGGAUGAAGAGGUACCUGGAGCCCAGGACCUGGUGGACUUCUCCCCGGUGUACCGAUGUCUGCACAUAUACUCUGUCCUGGGUGCCCGGGAAACCUUUGAGAGCUACUACAGGAAACAGAGAAGAAAACAAGCCAGAUUGGUCCUGCAGCCUCCUUCGAACAUGCACGAAACGUUAGACGGCUACAGGAAGUAUUUUAAUCAAAUUGUAGGGUUUUUUGUAGUUGAAGAUCACAUCUUGCAUACAACGCAGGGCUUGGUAAAUAGAGCCUAUAUUGAUGAGCUGUGGGAGAUGGCAUUAUCAAAAACUAUUGCAGCUCUAAGAACACAUUCAUCCUACUGCUCGGACCCGAGCCUGGUGUUAGACUUGAAGAACCUCAUCGUCCUCUUUGCAGACACACUGCAGGGAUAUGGCUUCCCAGUGAACCAGCUCUUUGACAUGCUGUUGGAGAUCCAAGACCAGUAUAGUGAAACCCUGCUGAAGAAAUGGUCAGGAGUUUUCAGAAAUAUACUUGAUUCAGAUAACUACAGCCCCAUCCCAGUGACGAAUGAAGAAGUUUAUAAGAAAAUAGUUGGACAGUUCCCAUUCCAGGAUGCAGAACUUGAAAAGCAGCCGUUUCCAAAGAAGUUCCCCUUUUCUGAGUUUGUGCCUAAAGUUUACAGUCAGAUUAAGGAAUUCAUCUACGCCUGCCUCAAGUUUUCGGAAGACCUUCACCUGAGCUCCACGGAAGUCGAUGACAUGAUCAGAAAAUCCACAAACCUGCUGCUGACCCGAACCCUGAGCAACUGUUUGCAGAACGUCAUCAAGAGGAAGAACGUUGGGCUGACGGAGCUUGUACAGAUUAUUAUAAAUACGACCCAUUUGGAGAAAUCCUGCAAGUUCCUAGAGGAAUUCAUAACCAAUAUCACUAAUGUGCUUCCAGAAACUGUCCACACCACGAAACUCUACGGGACCACAACCUUCAAGGACGCCCGCCAUGCUGCUGAGGAGGAGAUUUACACCAACCUGAACCAGAAGAUAGACCAGUUCUUGCAGCUGGCAGACUACGAUUGGAUGGCCAUGGAGCCGGGCAGCAAGGCCAGCGACUACCUUACAGAUCUCAUUGGCUUUCUACGCAGCACGUUUGCGGUGUUCACCCACCUCCCGGGGGAUGUAGAUGUCCACUCUACAAUGUCGGGGAAGGUGGCACAGACGGCGUGCAUGUCGGCGUGCAAGCACCUCUCCACCUCACUGAUGCAGCUGCUGCUGGAGGCCGAAGUGCGGCAGCUGACCCUGGGCGCCCUGCAGCAGUUCAACCUGGACGUGGAGGAGUGCGAACAGUUUGCCAGAUCCGGCCCAGUGCCUGGGUUCCAAGGGGACACGCUGCAGUUGGCCUUCAUCGACUUGAGACAACUCUUGGAUCUGUUCAUCCAGUGGGACUGGUCGACGUAUUUGGCUGACUACGGGCAACCCACGUGCAAGUAUCUUCGUGUGAACCCAACGACAGCCCUUGUCCUGCUGGAAAAAGGUGACUAAGUAAUUUCACAGCAACUUAUGACAUCUAGAUAUUACCACUAUGGUACACAGGGACUGAACUACAGUAGUUGCUGUGUGUAAAGCACUUCUGUACAUCAUAACGUUGGUUUUAUAUAUGUAUUUAUGUGUUGUGUAAUAUCCUGUGUUGUUCACAACAUAUUCACAACUCAACAUCCAUAAUGCAAAAGCUUGAGAUAUACUCAGAGCUGCCAGUAAAAUGGUAACAUAAAGAGCUAUCAAAAAUCAGAGAACUUGGACAUGAAGCAGUUAGAAGAGCCAGGGAAUGGGAAGCAGGCAGUGAGCUGGGUGAUGUGGCAGCUUGUGGGGUGCCACUAGGACAGCAGGAGGGCAGCUGCAUGCUCCUGGCCAUUUUUCCCAGGCAUUAUUUAAGCAUGCAGCACCCAUGCAUUGGUGUUAAAAAGCCACAAACCCCAGUUUGGCUUGCCAGCCUUCUCCCCAAAAGGGAUCUCAUUUGAAGGUAUUCCAUUUGCUUCCCAGAGUUACCCACCAGGUUAGCACUUGCAUCUCCUGCAUCCUUGUGGCGUGCCAUCACCGGCACAGCAUCAUUGCCUGCAUACUCUGCCCUCUCCCUGCUUGGGCUUUAGGCCCUUUGGGGAAUCUUCUGUGCAUCAUCCACCAGCUCCAGCACCCCAGACACUGUGCAUUGACCCAGCCAUAGCUUCAGGCACGUCCACCUGAGCCUUCCCCAUCCCUCUCCAUAGCAGCCAAGCUUUGCCCACGAGGCGAUGUGAAAUGCUGAUCCACUGGUUCAUUUUGUAACCUGUUUUCAUCAUUAUCUCUUUUCCUAAUCACACAUCUCCCAUAGGAUAUCACGAGUGAUGAAGGACACGAGCAGAAAAAACAACGUUUUUGCCCAGUUUCGGAAAAACGAGAGGGACAAGCAGAAGCUGAUCGACACCGUGGCCAAGCAGCUGCGCAGCCUCAUCAACAGCCAUCACUCGUGAGGGACUUGGGGACCUCCUGCCCACGCCGGUCCCUGCACCGCAGCCUUCCACAUGCCUGGACUUGGGAUUCUUGUUCAAAGAGAAUAUAUGUAUUUUUUUAUUCA